GCUUGUCUCAAAGAUUAAGCCAUGCAUGUCUAAGUAUAAGCAACUAUACUGUGAAACUGCGAAUGGCUCAUUAAAUCAGUUAUCGUUUAUUUGAUAGUACCUUACUACAUGGAUAACCGUGGUAAUUCUAGAGCUAAUACAUGCUAAAAACCUCGACUUCGGAAGGGGUGUAUUUAUUAGAUAAAAAACCAAUGCCCUUCGGGGCUCCCUGGUGAUUCAUAAUAACUUAACGAAUCGCAUGGCCUUGUGCCGGCGAUGGUUCAUUCAAAUUUCUGCCCUAUCAACUUUCGAUGGUAGGAUAGUGGCCUACCAUGGUUUCAACGGGUAACGGGGAAUUAGGGUUCUAUUCCGGAGAAGGAGCCUGAGAAACGGCUACUACAUCCAAGGAAGGCAGCAG
rnacentral:rRNA from 1 species